rnacentral:rRNA from 1 species
UACGAAGGGGGCUAGCGUUGCUCGGAAUCACUGGGCGUAGAGGGUGCGUAGGCGGGUCUUUAAGUCAGGGGUGAAAUCCUGGAGCUCAACUCCAGAACUGCCUUUGAUACUGAGGAUCUUGAGUCCGGGAGAGGUGAGUGGAACUGCGAGUGUAGAGGUGAAAUUCGUAGAUAUUCGCAAGAACACCAGUGGCGAAGGCGGCUCACUGGCCCGGUACUGACGCUGAGGCACGAAAGCGUGGGGAGCAAACAGG